UUGUGGAGGAGGACGCCGAAGGUGGGGCUAAUGACUGGGGUGAAGUCGUAACAAGGUAGCCGUACCGGAAGGUGCGGCUGGAUCACCUCCUAACAGGGAGACAACAAAAUGUAAAUAUUAAUUUUGUCACCUUAGGUCGAUCGGUAUCUCAGAUUCUUUUUUUAAGAAUUUCAGUUUCUAAGUUUUUUCUAGGUCACACCCAUCACUUUUUCCUGGGCCAUUAGCUCAGGUGGUUAGAGCGCACCCCUGAUAAGGGUGAGGUCCCUGGUUCAAGUCCAGGAUGGCCCAUAUCUCUAUGUUGGGGGUAUAGCUCAGUUGGUAGAGCGCCUGCUUUGCAAGCAGGAUGUCAGCGGUUCGAGUCCGCUUACCUCCACUGAAUACCACCUCUUACAUAUAUUUAAAGUGGGAAAUUGUUUUGAUUUGUGUCCUAAUUUGCUCUGAGCGAAUCUAGCUUCCUAUUUAUUCAAUAAAUAAGAUGCUGGACUCAUUGAAUUUUUAUUCUUUGUUUUCAGAGAACCUUGACAACUGCAUAGAUUAUUUUUGAAGACAAUAAGCAUCUUUAAUGAUGCAGAUUUAUUAUUUGUGCGAAUGCAUUAAAUAACAAUUCUAUUAAGCUGAUGCUUCAAUUAUGAAGUUAUUGGUCAAGCUACAA
rnacentral:misc_RNA from 1 species